rnacentral:rRNA from 1 species
CAAAUUACCCACUCCCGGCACGGGGAGGUAGUGACGAAAAAUAACGAUACGGGACUCAUCCGAGGCCCCGUAAUCGGAAUGAGUACACUUUAAAUCCUUUAACAAGGAUCCAUAGGAGGGCAAGUCUGGUGCCAGCAGCCGCGGUAAUUCCAGCUCCAAUAGCGUAUAUUAAAGUUGUUGCGGUUAAAAAGCUCGUAGUUGAAUCUGUGCGUUACGCUGUCGGUUCACCGCUCGCGGUGUUUAACUGAUACGCCGUGACGCGUCCUACCGGUGGACUUAGCUCUUCCCCUUCGCGGGUGCAGGGCGGUCCUACUUCAAUCCUAUCGCGGUGCUCUUCAUCGAGUGUCGAGAUGGGCCGGUACGUUUACUUUGAACAAAUUAGAGUGCUUAAAGCAGGCUAUUUUCGCCUGAAUACUGUGUGCAUGGAAUAAUGGAAUAGGACCUCGGUUCUAUUUUGUUGGUUUUCGGAACACCGAGGUAAUGAUUAAUAGGGACAGAUGGGGGCAUUUGUAUUGCGACGUUAGAGGUGAAAUUCUUGGAUCGUCGCAAGACAGACAGAAGCGAAAGCAUUUGCCAAAAAUGUUUUCAUUAAUCAAGAACGAAAGUUAGAGGUUCGAAGGCGAUCAGAUACCGCCCUAGUUCUAACCAUAAACGAUGCCAGCUAGCGAUCCGCCGAAGUUCCUCCGAUGACUCGGCGGGCAGCUUCCGGGAAACCAAAGCUUUUGGGUUCCGGGGGAAGUAUGGUUGCAAAGCUGAAACUUAAAGGAAUUGACGGAAGGGCACCACCAGGAGUGGAGCCUGCGGCUUAAUUUGACUCAACACGGGAAACCUCACCAGGCCCGGACACCGGAAGGAUUGACAGAUUGAUAGCUCUUUCUUGAUUCGGUGGGUGGUGGUGCAUGGCCG